AAUGCAAAAACAAAGUGUUGGAGAAGAAAGUAAAAGUGCAAUAUGUGCCAUGUAAGAAAGCUAACGUUUCAGUUCCUUGCUCAGAACAUGAGAACAUGUGAAAGCUGGUGGUUCCUUUUAACAUGAGUCUUCAAUAUUCCCAGGUAAGAAGUUUUAGGUUGUAGUUAUUAUAGGACUAUUUCUCUCUAUACCAUUUGUAUUUCAUUAACCUUUGACAAUUGGAUGUUCUUAUAGGCACUUUAGUAUUGCCAGUGUAACAGUAUAGCUUCCGUCCCUCUCCUCGCUCCUCCCUGGGCUCGAACCAGCAACACAACGACAAUUAGCGCGCGCUAACUAGCUAGCCAUUUCACUUCGGUUACACGAGCCUCAUCUCGGGAGUUGAUAGGCUUGAAGUCAUAAACAGUGCAAUGCUUGACGCACAACGAAGAGCUGCUGGCAAAACGCACGAAAGAGCUGUUUGAAUGAAUGUUCACGCGCCUGCUGGUGCCUACCACCGCUCAGUCAGAUACUUAGAUAUUUGUAUGCUCAGUCAGAUACUUAGAUACUUGUAUGCUCAGUCAGAUACUUGUGUGCUCAGUCAGAUACUUAGAUACUUGUAUGCUCAGUCAGAUACUUAGAUACUUGUGUGCUCAGUCAGAUACUUAGAUACUUGUAUGCUCAGUCAGAUUAUAGGACACGCUAGAUAAUAUCUAGUAAUAUCAUCAACCAUGUAUAGUUAACUAGUGAUUAUGAUUGUUUCUAUAUAAGAUAAGUUUAAUGCUAGCUAGCAACUUACCUUGGCUUACUGCAUUCGUGUAACAGGCAGGUCGUUAUUGCGUUGGACUAGUUAACUGUACGGUUGCAAGAUUGGAUCCCCCGAGCUGACAAUGUGAAAAUCUGUCGUUUUGCCCUUGUACUCCCAGAGGUUCUGAGGUGGCUCGACACAGGCAGUUUCUAAGUUGAUAUAUAAUAAGUGGUAUUUCUGGGUUCUGUCACCUUGUACUCCCAGAGGUUCUGAGGUGGCUUGACCCCCAGUUCCUUGAUCCUCUCCAGUUCAGCCAUCAUCGCUCUCCUAUGGGCCUGGUUGUCUAUGUUAUAGGGAGCUCUGGUCAGCUCCUCAUCACCGAGCAUCAACAAUAACCUGAGAGAUAUAUCAUA
rnacentral:lncRNA from 13 species